UCUACGGAGCACUUCCCGUCCCUCCUCUGUAUCAUUUAAAGGGACCACGCUUUUCCCUUCUCAGCACUUCCUUUCCGUAUCAACAGGAGGCCAGGGACUGGCUGGACCCCUAGGAGCCAGGUCCUACGGAUAGGUGAGCCGGCCCCCCAGGGCAAACACCUCCACUGGGCAGACCUGACUGCCCAGAGCUGGAUUCUUUACUUGUAAAAGGGGCCAUGAGUGACACAGGCUCGGCCUGCUGUGCCUUGAGGAAAGGAGAGGCUAAAAAUUCUGCCUUCUCUCCUAAAGCCAGCCGGGCUCUUUAUGGUGGGGGAAGGAAGGAUUUGUUUAUUUGCACUCUUCUGAAAUAAAAGUUCUCUAUCCUCCCUCCUGGCUGGAGUUGGGAGGGCCCCAUGGGUGGGCUCUGAGAUGUGGCACACGGUACCCAGGGCAGGGCUGGGAAGGGUGGGGUGCAGGGGCCUCCCUGGCUGCAGGGCCCACCCACCAGGUGCCUGGGCUUGCUGCACUGAGCAGGCAUGGGCUCUGGCCCCCCUCACUGUCCCUUCCAGGCCCAGCCUGUGUUCAGGGCCCAGGACAGGGUCUGGCCAGCAGGCCCCAGGCCUCCAAGAUGUUCUCAGCCUCUGGAGUGUGUGUGAUGAUGAGCACUCAUGGAGCUUCCUGUAUGCUGGGCCCUGGGCUUCUGAGAGGGCCACCGGGUGGCGACUGAGUCACGAGGUGGAGGGCCAGUCCCAGGGACUCCAGGUGACCUCGUGUCGGCACCACGCCCUUCUCCCAUGGGCAGUCCUGGGCGCCCCUUCCUGGCCUUGGGCCCAGUGGCCUGUGGCCUGACCCCGUCCACUCCUGCUUGGUUGUCCCAGCAGCAGCAGGAGCCCAUGCUGGAGAAGGUGUUAUGGGGCAGGUGGAGGGCCCGGCUGACUCAGAUGAUCCCCCAAGUUUCUUUUCAAUGAACACUUGUUUAGUGCAGUUUUUCCUCCUCAAAUCCCCCUCACACAGGCAGACACCCUCUUGGCCCAGGGUAAUCUGCUGAGCCUUUGCUCAAAUAUAGCAGCUUUGCUGCUUUCUAAACACAACUAAUCCAAUUUGGGAUUUGGGGAUUCGAGGUGGGCAGCACUGGGCCUCAGAUGAGCCCCCAUCACCCCAGACCCAUGCAGGAAGAGCCAGGCAGGGUGGGGCCCUGGGGCCACCUGGUGGGCUCAGGGCCAGGGCAUCGCGAUGUCCCCAUCCUUCACACUACGGGGCUUCCUGGCUGCAGAGUUGGGGACUCAGCUGGGAAUGCUGGCCAUAGAGGCAGAGAGCCCCCAUCCUGCUGGGCCAGCCCUGACCUGGCUUCUCCAGGGUGGCCCAGUGUCCCCUUCUGCCCUUCCCCUGGCUCCCACCGUCCACAUCCCUCUAUCUGCCCACCCUGGACAACAACCAGCACAGUGCAGUGUGGCCCUGCAGUGACACCACCUGCAGAGAGGUCAGGCCCAGCCUCCCCCGUCUCCUAAAAGGCCAGCAGGUCCCAGGAGCUGGGGGUGGGGCCUGGCUGUGGGGCCUCCAUGCCCCAGGGGCCAGGGCAGACCCUCCUUAGCCGGCAACCACUGCAGAUUCCUCCCCUGGCCAGCACUCGGGGACCUCCCUGCCCCUGCCCCGUCCCCCUACCUUGCCUGCUGAGACAUAGGGCUCCACGGGUCUCUCUCCUGGGGCCGGGCUGACUGUGGCCUGCGAGGGGCAGUCAUCGUGUUGGGUUUUCCUGCCAGAGGCAGAAACCACAAAAUUACCUGGAACAUACACGCCCCAAGUGACAGAUUCAAUUCAAUUCCACAAAUAUUGACCUCGCGUCUAAUCCACUCGUCCUCCAGUGCCAGCUCAUUCCUGAGAAGCCCAGCCUGGCAGCCGCAGAUCCCAUUUAAUCCCAGCCCCACAAUGUCACCAGCUCGCAGCUUGGGAGCUGGGCUCAUCCAGGCCCUGGCAGGUGGGGCCAGAGCUGGGCUCUGACCUCUGUACCCACACUUACCACCAUGUAAAGUGCUGGGAAGAGGGGUGGGGAGUCACGGCAAGUUGAGGGUCCAGGCUUGCCCCAGCUCGCCAGAUGCUCGCCCUGGCUGCCCUGACCUAGCAGCUAAUCUCUGCGGGGCACUGCGGCUACAUGGUGACUCCAGCACGGGGACAUUUAUCAGAAAUGGAACUGAUGGAUUAAAGUGGAACCAAGCGAAUUGAUUUUUCU